rnacentral:ncRNA from 1 species
GAAAGUCGUAUGAAGCGAAAGUUUCAUGUACGGUUUGGGAUGGAGAAAAGGCAGAGAUAACUUCAAAGCCUUACCUAUCAUCU